rnacentral:rRNA from 1 species
UACGGAGGGGGCUAGCGUUGUUCGGAAUUACUGGGCGUAAAGCGCACGUAGGCGGAUAUUUAAGUCAGGGGUGAAAUCCCGGGGCUCAACCCCGGAACUGCCUUUGAUACUGGGUAUCUGGAGGUCGAGAGAGGCGAGUGGAAUUCCGAGUGUAGAGGUGAAAUUCGUAGAUAUUCGGAGGAACACCAGUGGCGAAGGCGGGAUCCUGGGCCAGUACUGACGCUGAGGAGCGAAAGCGUGGGGAGCAAACAGG